UACGUAGGGUGCGAGCGUUAAUCGGAAUUACUGGGCGUAAAGCGUGCGCAGGCGGUUUUGUAAGCCAGAUGUGAAAUCCCCGGGCUUAACCUGGGAAUGGCAUUUGGGGACUGCAAGGCUGGAGUGCGGCAGAGGAGACUGGGAAUUCCUGGUGUAGCAGUGAAAUGCGUAGAGAUCGGGAGGAACACCCGUGGCGAAGGCGGCCAUCUGGACCAGCACUGACGCUGAGGCACGAAAAGCGUGGGG
rnacentral:rRNA from 1 species